rnacentral:misc_RNA from 1 species
AAAAAAAAAAAAUCCAAUCAUGGAAUACAAGAAGAGAGGGGGAUAGAGGGAAAAAUCUAACAUGCAGCUCUAACAUAAGGGAUUCUAACAAGAAUCAGGGACAGCCAGAUAUGGCAAGAAGAAAACAGAUUCAAUUAUGGCCAUAAAUGAACAUCAAACAAGAGGAAAAACUAUAUAUAAGAGGUAAAAAGAACCCACCCAUAAAGAGCCCAAUUGCAGAGAAAGAAAGAAAGAAAUCAUUACAAAAUUUAAAAUUUAAUAGCGAAGGAGAGGGAUGAAAGUGCAAGCUUUGAACUAAAAUCGAAAUCAUAAUAUAUCAAGCCCCUGAGAACCAAACCAACACAAAUUUGAACUUAACC